rnacentral:rRNA from 1 species
GUCUAUGGCCAUACCACCCUGAACGCACCUGAUCUCGUCGGAUCUCGGAAGCUAAGCAGGGUCGGGCCUGGUUAGUACUUGGAUGGGAAAAUCUAGAGGUCAUGAAAG